AGCAUCUAGCGAGAAAAUAAGUGACCCGUACCCGAAACCGACACAGGUGGUCAGGUAGAGAAUACCAAGGCGAUCGAGAUAAUUAUGGAUAAGGAACUCGGCAAAAUGCCCCCGUAACUUCGGGAGAAGGGGGGCCCUUUGACGUGUAGGAGUUUUCCUCCGAAGCGUUGGAAGGCCGCAGAGACCAGGCUCAAGCGACUGUUUACCAAAAACACAGGUCCGUGCGAAGUAGCAAUACGAUGUAUACGGACUGACGCCUGCCCGGUGCUGGAAGGUUAAGGGGACUGGUUAGCCGCAAGGCGAAGCUGAGAACUUAAGCCCCAGUAAACGGCGGUGGUAACUAUAACCAUCCUAAGGUAGCGAAAUUCCUUGUCGGGUAAGUUCCGACCUGCACGAAUGGCGUAACGACUUGAGCGCUGUCUCAUCCGUAAACUCGGCGAAAUUGCAUUACGAGUAAAGAUGCUCGUUACGCGCAGAAAGACGGAAAGACCCCGGGACCUUUACUAUAUCUUGAUAUUGGUGUUCGGAACGGUUUGUGUAGCAUAGGUGGGAGACUUUGAAGCGGGCACGCCAGUGUUUGUGGAGUCAUCGUUGAAAUACCACUCUGAUCGUUUUGAACUUCUAACCUCGGUCCGUAAUCCGGAUCAGGGACAGUGUCUGGUGGGUAGUUUGACUGGGGCGGUCGCCUCCUAAAAAGUAACGGAGGCGCUCAAAGGUUCCCUCAACCUGGUUGGCAAUCAGGUGUCGAGUGUAAGUGCACAAGGGAGCUUAACUGUGAGACAGACAUGUCGAGCAGGUGCGAAAGCAGGAACUAGUGAUCCGGCGGUGGCUUGUGGAAGCGCCGUCGCUCAACGGAUAAAAGGUACCCCGGGGAUAACAGGCUGAUCUUGCCCAAGAGUCCAUAUCGACGGCAAGGUUUGGCACCUCGAUGUCGGCUCGUCUCAUCCUGGGGCUGGAGUAGGUCCCAAGGGUUGGGCUGUUCGCCCAUUAAAGAGGCACGCGAGCUGGGUUCAGAACGUCGUGAGACAGUUCGGUCCCUAUCUUCUGUGCGCGUAAGAAACUUGAGAAGGGCUGACCCUAGUACGAGAGGACCGGGUCGGACGAACCUCUGGUGUGUCGGUUGUUCCGCCAGGAGCACCGCCGAUUAGCUACGUUCGGAAGGGAUAACCGCUGAAAGCAUCUAAGCGGGAAGCUCGCUUCAAGAUUAGGUUUCUCAUUGGUUUACCAAGUAAGGCCCCCAGGAGACUACUGGGUUGAUAGGGUGGAAGUGGAAGAGCCGUAAGGCUUGGAGCUGACCACUACUAAUAGGCCGAGGAUUUAACUAC
rnacentral:rRNA from 1 species